rnacentral:tRNA from 1 species
CGGAUUUUGCUGGAAAAGGCGCUGGCCGAAGCUCCACGCUUCGGACUGAACCGGCUGGUCGGCUUUGUGUUCGGGCAUAACGAACCGA